AGGGAAUAUUGCACAAUGGAGGAAACUCUGAUGCAGCGACGCCGCGUGAGUGAUGAAGGCCUUCGGGUCGUAAAGCUCUGUCGCAGGGGAAUAACACAAUGAAGGUACCCUGUAAGAAAGGAUCGGCUAACUUCGUGCCAGCAGCCGCGGUAAGACGAGGGAUCCUAGCGUUGUUCGGAAUUAUUGGGCGUAAAGCGGGUGUAGGUGGCUAUGUAAGUCAGACGUGAAAGCCCAGGGCUCAACCCUGGAAGUGCGUUUGAAACUGUGUAGCUUGAGUGCUAGAGAGGUUACUAGAAUUCUUGGUGUAGUGGUGAAAUACGUAGAUAUCAAGAGGAAUACCGGAGGCGAAGGCGGGUAACUGGCUAAGCACUGACACUCAGACCCGAAAGUGCGGGGAUCAAAC
rnacentral:rRNA from 1 species